rnacentral:sRNA from 1 species
GUUGCAGGCGACGAUGCAGAGGGCUGUAAGUGUGGUGGCCCAUCUGGGCUCUCGCCUGCAGGCAUUCUCCCCGGCCUUGUGUCGUCCAUUUAGUUGCGCACAGGUGGGAUAGAGGGUGCUGGUCUUGGAGGGUGGGGGAGGGAAGCGGCUGGGGGCUAGGGCCCUGGUGGCACUAAGCCCAGCCGCCCGCAGGAGGUGCUCCGCCGGACACCGCUGUAUGACUUCCACCUGGCCCACGGCGGGAAAAUGGUGGCGUUUGCGGGUUGGAGUCUGCCAGUGCAGUACCGGGACAGUCACACUGACUCGCACCUGCACACACGCCAGCACUGCUCGCUCUUUGACGUGUCUCAUAUGCUGCAGACCAAGAUACUUGGUAGUGACCGGGUGAAGCUGAUGGAGAGUCUAGUGGUUGGAGACAUUGCAGAGCUAAGACCAAACCAGGGGACACUGUCGCUGUUUACCAACGAGGCUGGAGGCAUCUUAGAUGACUUGAUUGUAACCAGUACUUCUGAGGGCCACCUGUAUGUGGUGUCCAACGCUGGCUGCUGGGAGAAAGAUUUGGCCCUCAUGCAGGACAAGGUCAGGGAGCUUCAGAACCAGGGCAGAGAUGUGGGCCUGGAGGUGUUGGAUAAUGCCCUGCUAGCUCUGCAAGGCCCCACUGCAGCCCAGGUACUACAGGCCGGCGUGGCAGAUGACCUGAGGAAACUGCCCUUCAUGACCAGUGCUGUGAUGGAGGUGUUUGGCGUGUCUGGCUGCCGUGUGACCCGCUGUGGCUACACAGGAGAGGAUGGUGUGGAGGUGUGUCAAGAAGUGGUGUAGGGGGCAGUACAGGGCACAAGAUGCAUGUGAGGGGUUGGGGGUAUGUGGUACAGGGAGCUUCCCAUCUGCCCUCUGGUGUUUCAUACAGAUCUCGGUGCCGGUAGCGGGGGCAGUUCACCUGGCAACAGCUCUUCUGAAAAACCCAGAGGUGAAGCUGGCAGGGCUGGCAGCCAGGGACAGCCUGCGCCUGGAGGCAGGCCUCUGCCUGUACGGGAAUGACAUUGAUGAACACACUACACCUGUGGAGGGCAGCCUCAGUUGGACACUGGGGAAGCGCCGCCGAGCUGCUAUGGACUUCCCUGGAGCCAAAGUCAUUGUUCCCCAGCUGAAGGGCAAGGUGCAGCGGAGGCGUGUGGGGUUGAUGUGUGAGGGGGCCCCCAUGCGGGCACACAGUCCCAUCCUGAACAUGGAGGGUACCAAGAUUGGUACUGUGACUAGUGGCUGCCCCUCGCCCUCUCUGAAGAAGAAUGUGGCGAUGGGUUAUGUGCCCUGCGAGUACAGUCGUCCAGGGACAAUGCUGCUGGUAGAGGUGCGGCGGAAGCAGCAGAUGGCUGUAGUCAGCAAGAUGCCCUUUGUGCCCACAAACUACUAUACCCUCAAGUGAAGCUGGCUCAGGGUGGGGCUGUCCCUUCCAGAAGUUUUGCCCCUACAAGGGGUUAGUCAAGAAGCUGAGGCAGAACUCACUGGGGGUGGGCAGUUAAGGUGGAGGCUGAUUCUAAUUGUCUGGCUGAGGGGCCACACCACCUAUUCCCCCCACCUAACUCAUGCCACUCCAGCUUCCUUCAGGACCCUGCUUCUGAGUGACGGACCAGCUCACACAAUGUCUUGUUUCAGUCCAUGAUCCCACUGACCUACUCUUGCCUGCUGGAGGGUAAUGAGAAGCUUUGGUUCUGCCAUCUCUCCCACUCUGCCAGGUGCUGGCUGUGGAGCAAAGGCUCACCUUUGUGGGGAGGAUAAAACCUGCCCAACCUACCUCACCAUGGUUUUUCACAUUGCAAACGGUAAUAACAUGGGCAGUGUGGACUUAGGCUACCCCCUCCAGUUUGCUUUCCGUAAAUGCAAAUUGUCCCUACUGCAAGUCAGGAAUGAUUGCCGACUCACAGUAGGGCUGCUAUGCCUGUGUGUAAACUUGGGGAUGGCUGAGGGAACACAGACUCACUCUUCCGCAUUCCCAAGUUGGUCUAGUGUGCUGCCCAGUAGCAAACCAUGGCAGGCUCACCACCUAUUCUGAGCUCCAGGGCUGUUGUAGGGCAGGGUGGGCUUCCUCCCAGACUUGCCUUACCCUGGGCUGAUCUUUGCCCCUGGUAUGCAUUAAUGGACUCCACUGAAUCCUGAAAAAAAAUUAAACU